GUAAGGUCUACCCGUCUUCGGACAUGAAUGAACCGCCCAAAAAAAAAAAAUACUACAAGAAGGAUUUCGCGGAAACUUAUUCCUCCAUUGAGUUGCUUCGAGGAAAGAGCCCAGAAACGGGAAACUUAUUCUGUUAUUCAAUCUUCAGCAGUCUACAAGAAGAAGAAAGUAUGAAUUUUUGGUUCGUUUGAACUUUCAAUUUAUGCAUAAAUGGAGGAAAAUUGUCCUAUUCCUAGUUUGAUUAACUGAAAAAAAAAAGGAAAUUGUGAAGGAAAUAGUUUGUUAGAAUCCAUUUUCAAGAAAAGGUGAGAAUGAGGUUAGUAGUUCAAUAUGAUGUUUUCUGCUGUUGAUAUGUUAUGCUACUGAAUGUUUAACAGGAUAACCAACUCAUGCCAAUUUGUGUUCGACUUGUUAGUAGAAUCUUGUAGCAAUUAAGGAUUUAUGGUGUUGGGUUUGAUGUUUGUUGUUUCUUGAAGGAACAUGGAUUUUCAUUGAGUCUUGUGGCGUUCAGUACUUGGCUCUGUGUCAUACAAAAAUCUCCUGCUAGCAGCAAUUUAAUAUGGGAGGUUUAUUGUCAUAUGAUUUAGAAGAUAAUCGACCCAAAUGAAGCGACAGUCAGUAAAAUGAUCUAUGCAUAAUGUAAGUCAGGUGAGCUGCAAAAUUUGACAUCAUUGGUAGAUUCAUAGCAAUGGGUGGGUGCUCUCCUCAAGUGAUCGUGAACACUGAACGCUAGUUUUGUUUUUAGGAUGUUAAGGAAAGGAGAAUUGAGGAAGGACUUGUAGUGUUGAAGAGGAUGUUACAGUACAGACAACCUGAUACUUGAUUCUGUUUUUACUUGUUGGUUGUAUACGCUCCACUAAGAAGUGGGAAUCAAACUGCACACAUGAAGCGUAUGAAAACAAAUGCUGAGUCGUGGUUUUUCUCUUCAACUCUUGUUUAUAAUCUAUUUAUUGGGGGUUGUUUCAAGGACGGGAUGUUAGAAGAAGCCCUUAACUUGAUGGAUGAAAUGCCAAACACGGGUUCAAGUUCAACGCCAUAUGACAAUACUUACUAAUUAAGAUUCUCGUAUGAUGGAUUGUGCUAGCAUAGGAGCGUUGGUGGACAUUCUUUUGACUUUGUGUAGAAAUGACAGAGAAGUCUGUUCCUGAGCUAUUCAGUUUUCAAUGAAAUGCAGGGAAAGAUAUGCAAUAAGGAAAUAUGAAGCAGGCCAAAUGGCCAUUCAGAUGUUAACUGUUUUAAUGGAGAAUUGGUGUUUUCAAAGUUUGUUAUGAAAUAGUCCCAUUUAGUUUUUUACACUUGUCGAGACAAUAUUUUAAUCUUUAAUAUUUCAAAUCAUUCUUAAUUAAAAAUUAUAAAAAGUUGAUA